rnacentral:misc_RNA from 1 species
CAAAAAAAAAAAAAAAGAAAAAUCUGAGUUUAGUCUUUAAAGAAAAUAGCUGAAUUUAAAAACUUUAAAGCUCAUCAAAAGGGCUUCUUUAGUGAAAAUGAAGGUUUAAAGGUGGAAGUUGUUAGUCAGUUCUGUGUGUUUAUAUUUUUGUUAGGAGAGGUUUAGUUCCAUGGAUUCAGAAUUUGUUUACACCCAUUGGGUUCUUAGCAAGUUGUGCAUCUAAGUUAAAUUUUAGGUAUGGUUACAGUCAGCUCCUGAAACCUUACUACUCAUUGCAAAUUGAAUCCCUUUGAUACGAUUCGAUUUCAAGCUAGGGCUUUAUAAACCAUUGCAAUUGAAAAUCUUACUAGGGCUUUUCACAGAAAAUAUUCUCUAGAAAAUAUUUUCCAGGAAAACAUUUUCAGCAUUUUCUGAUAUUUAGGGCGCUUAGGAAAAUGGGCUAAUAUAAAAUUUUUCAUGGUCAGAGAAAACUAAGGCCUUUAGUUAUAGAAAACUUCUGUUUCCAUUUUCAUUUUUUUUCCUCCAUUUAUCAGUUUUCCAAUUUUCCAAGUGGAUUGAAAAACUAGAAAACAUGUUUGUUUGUUUGAUUUUUUUAACACUCCAUUUUUCAUUUUUCCUUUGUAAAAUUUUUAUUAUACUUUCUUAAAUAUAUACUAUUUCAUAAAGAUACUAAUCAUUGAAAU